GGCUCGAGGCAGAUUCAACAUUGGCUAUUCACUGCAUUACCAAAGGUGGAGGACCAUGGUCGAUUCAGGGUAUUCUUAGACAGAUCAGAGACCUCAUCUACUUCGAUAGAGACACGAUUUCACACAUCUACAGAGAAGGCAACCAGGUUGCUGAUUCUCUUGCUACAGAAGGCUGGAAUCAUCGGCGCUAUCUAGAGUAUGGACCACUAGAACUGUCUCGACAUAUUAGGGCGAUAGUGCGGAUCGACAAACAUGGAUUGUCCAGUUUCAGAGGUUCGUAAUUUAGGCUAUUCUUUAUUGUAUAGGGAAGUAGUACUUCCUCAUUUAUUGCUUUCAUUUAUUAUAUUCAUUUGUUGCAUCAGUGCUUUUUGGAGGUCACGUUCAUGCCUCCUUCCUUCCGUGUAUUCUUGAUUUUUAUGAAAUAAAUAUGGUUGGGGAAUCCUUAACCCCCAUCGACCUUCUUUGG
rnacentral:lncRNA from 1 species